AUGGGAUGGAGUUGUAUCACACUCUUCCUUUUGUCAGUAACUACAGGUAUCCAAUCACAGGUCCUGCUGCAACAGUCUGGGCCUGAGCUUGGGCGACCUGGUUCCUCAGUGAAUUUGUCAUGCAAGGCUUCAGGCUAUACUUUCAGUAGAUACAAUAUGAACUGGGUGAGACAGAGGCCUGGACAGGGCCUGGAGUGCAUUGGAUGGUUUGUUACUACAAGUGGUAAUACUAAAUAUGCACCAAAUUUCCAGGGCAAGGACACACUGAAUAGAGAUGUAUCCUCCAGCAAGGUGUACAUGGAGCACAGGAGCCUGACAUCUGAGGACUCUGCCAUCUAUUUCUGUGCAAGACACACAGUGUUGCAUCCACAUCCUGAGUGUGUCAGAGACCAUAGAGUAGCAGGAAACUUCACAAGAAUGGAUAUGACAGAGAAGAUCAGUCUGGGGACUUGCUCAGAAAUAAUCAUUCUAGAGUUCUCUUCUCUGCCUCCUUGUCAAAGACCUAUAUUGCUUAAUUCAACUUUGCAAAACACAUGUGAGUAA